rfam:Alligator mississippiensis ScZkoYb_5, whole genome shotgun sequence.
AAACAUAUCUGGAAGGGGUAAUACCAUGAUCACAAAGGUGGUUUCCCAGAGUGAGGCCUGUCCCUUGCACUUCAGGCAGGCUGACCCCUACAUACAAGAUUUUCCAAAUGUGGGAAACUUGACUGCAAAAAUUCUGUGGCCAUGGGGGCUGCAUUCACACAACACCCCCUG